rnacentral:rRNA from 1 species
UGGGGAAUAUUGGACAAUGGGCGCAAGCCUGAUCCAGCCAUGCCGCGUGGAUGAUGAAGGCCCUAGGGUUGUAAAGUCCUUUCGACGGGGAAGAUAAUGACGGUACCCGUAGAAGAAGCCCCGGCUAACUUCGUGCCAGCAGCCGCGGUAAUACGAAGGGGGCUAGCGUUGCUCGGAAUCACUGGGCGUAAAGCGCACGUAGGCGGAUUUCUAAGUCGGUGGUGAAAUCCUGGAGCUCAACUCCAGAACUGCCUCCGAUACUGGGAGUCUUCGAGUCCGGGAGAGGUGAGUGGAACUGCGAGUGUAGAGGUGAAAUUCGUAGAUAUUCGCAAGAACACCAGUGGCGAAGGCGGCUCACUGGCCCGGUACUGACGCUGAGGUGCGAAAGCGUGGGGAGCAAACAGGAUUAGAUACCCGUGUAGUCCCUGAGCGGGCUGGCAAGGCGCAU